rnacentral:rRNA from 1 species
AGUGAACGCUGGCGGUAGGCCUAACACAUGCAAGUCGAACGGCAGCACAGUAAGAGCUUGCUCUUACGGGUGGCGAGUGGCGGACGGGUGAGGAAUACAUCGGAAUCUACUUUUUCGUGGGGGAUAACGUAGGGAAACUUACGCUAAUACCGCAUACGACCUACGGGUGAAAGCAGGGGAUCUUCGGACCUUGCGCGAUUGAAUGAGCCGAUGUCGGAUUAGCUAGUUGGCGGGGUAAAGGCCAACCAAGGCGACGAUCCGUAGCUGGUCUGAGAGGAUGAUCAGCCACACUGGAACUGAGACACGGUCCAGACUCCUACGGGAGGCAGCAGUGGGGAAUAUUGGACAAUGGGCGCAAGCCUGAUCCAGCCAUACCGCGUGGGUGAAGAAGGCCUUCGGGUUGUAAAGCCCUUUUGUUGGGAAAGAAAAGCAGCAGGUUAAUACCCCGCUGUUCUGACGGUACCCAAAGAAUAAGCACCGGCUAACUUCGU